rnacentral:rRNA from 1 species
GACGAACGCUGGCGGCGUGCUUAACACAUGCAAGUCGAACGCUGAACCACUUUCGGGUGGGGAUGAGUGGCGAACGGGUGAGUAACACGUGGGUAAUCUGCCCUGCACUCUGGGAUAAGCCUUGGAAACGAGGUCUAAUACCGGAUAUCACUUUCUCUCGCAUGGGAGAUUGUUGAAAGUUCUGGCGGUGCAGGAUGAACCCGCGGCCUAUCAGCUUGUUGGUGGGGUAGUGGCCUACCAAGGCGACGACGGGUAGCCGGCCUGAGAGGGUGACCGG